rnacentral:lncRNA from 1 species
GACCACCCAGGAGCUUGGCUGCGCCUGCUGCAGUCUGCGUUUCUGAUAAAUUGAAACCAGUUUUAAUUCUUCUGCCCGGGAGACCUAACCGCCGAAUGCGUUCGGAGCUGUACUGGAACCCAAGGAGAUGUUCACAAGGAAGAUGGAAAGUAAGCUGUGUAACAUCAGCAUUGGGAGCAAGAGCCACAAACCUCAUUUUCAAGUUGGGAAGAAACUCAGGACCCGAGAAGCUACAGGAUUCAGCCCAGUCACAGAGCUUGGAAAAACUCGGUUCUUGCGACACGACGAGGAAAGAUUAGGCACGGAGACACUUUGAAGGGAACGGGAGGGGCCGACUCCUCCCCAUGCAAACAGCGGCAGCUUCCCGAGGCCCCACCGCUUCCUCCCAGCGCGUAGGCCAAUGGGAGAUUUCUCCAGCCAUGUCAAAUGGGGAAAUGAGUAUGGAGAAUUUUGAGGGGAAGGACAUUGAGGCGGAAGGACACUGAAUUUAGGGGCAAGGCUGGGCUGGACAUCCCAUAUGUCAAUUUAAUCCACA